UCCAUACAUUCCUCUGUCACAAAAUUCUUGUCUUAGAUUUAUCUAAAUACGGAUAUAUCAAGUCACGCUUUAGCAUUAGAUACAUCCGUAUCUAGACGAAUAUAAGACAAGAAUUUUGGGACGGAGGGAGUAGAAU
rfam:Triticum urartu cultivar G1812 contig1108393, whole genome shotgun sequence.